rnacentral:snoRNA from 1 species
UCGCGUCUUCAUGAUGAUACACAAACAUUAAGCAUAGUUCAACUUAGGCCAAUGGCCGCUGAGGAACCAAACAGCAUUGUCUUUCGCUCCUAUCUGACUCGACUCUU